GAGUGGGGAGAGCGGGAAACCACUUAGCCUUUGUUGAUUUUUCCAGCCAAGGCAGGAACUUUGUCUUUUUAUUAAGAUCAAAAGGAAUGCAUGAGGGGUGUGGACAAGGGCUGGCGGGCUGCAGGUGGAAAGUGCAUGCAGUGGGAACGUGCAGCCAUGAGGUCCAGGGUGCAUUUUAGAGAGGACGGGUUGGAGGUCAUGGUGUGGUCUGGAAGAAAGGUCAGGAAAUGGAAUCAUGGUGUUAGUGGUUUAGAAAAGUGGUCCGAUGCCAGAGGCUAAGUUACUUGGCUUGGUUCACACAUCAGCAAGUUCAAACCGAGUUCAGUUGUGCUGCGAAGCCAAUAUGCUAAGUCACCAUAAUUUAACAACAGGUUUCCCCUCAAGGCCAGGCCCCUGGUCCCCAGGAGUGCGGGGAUGCCUGAGGUCUACUGCUGCCUUAUCCAGAGCUGCCAUCCCCGGCGAUGACUCAGAGUUCCUGUGGCCCCAGCAUCAUCCCUCCAUCCCUGGCUGUGAGGCAGGAGCAGAGUUGCAGACCUGAGAGGCCUUGAAUUUGUUUGAUAUAGGACUUUGCCACCAGACAAAGUGCUUUGCCUGUGAGGUCUGGCUUGGCCUGGCCUCUGAGAAAGAACAAACACAGACCUCACUGGAAGGAACCUGGAGAACGGGAGAGGAGAGGCUGCUGCUGUCUGCCCUCCCAGCAGCAGAUAUAAAGACAAUGGGCUUCUAAGUCCCCUAGAGUCCCAGCUGUGUAAUUUAAGGCGAGUUCAUCUCUCACAGCCUCAGUUUCCUCAU
rnacentral:lncRNA from 1 species